ensembl:rRNA 5S_rRNA 5S ribosomal RNA
UUUGACAGCCAUAUCACCCUGCAGUCCAAGACUGGUUGGUCACCAUAGCUAAGUAGGGCUGAGCCUGGUCAGUACCUGGAUAGGAGACCACAUGGGAAAACUAGGUUGCUGUUGGAA